rnacentral:lncRNA from 1 species
GGUAAGUCAUCAUGGGUUUUGUAGCUUCAUGGAGGUCUAGCUUUUGGCCACCCUUGACUUACACAAAUCAAGAAAUUGUAGAUAGUUUCUUCCAAUUUAGAACAUGGAUUUUACUUAUAAAUAUUUUCCAUACACAUACAGUUUGAGAAUGUAUUUUCCCUAUAUCAUGCAGAAAUACAAUCAGAUUAUGUGUGAUCACUACUGGGUUGUAAUUACUUGUUUCGGAAGGAAAUAAACUUAAAAUAAUAUAUUUUAUAUAAUUGCCUGGGCACUCUUCAUUAAAUGCCAUUUCUGUCUUCCUGUGGCAGUCUGGUCCUGGGUUAGGAUUUAAAGUUGUAAUGUUUCAUUACCAUGCGCAUAUAGAGUUACAUAGUUAUUUUGAUAAUUGUGUGACAACCUACUUCUUUUUUUAUCCUUAACUACUAGCAGUCAUUUUUUGAGAAGAAUUAAUACUUACUUUGAGUUCCAGCGUUCAGUAGUCACUGUAUAGUUUUAUUGUGUAAAGUUAUGGAUUACGUAACUUUAUUAAAACUCCAUGGCUAAGCACCACCUUAAAAUUAUGCCAUCUCUUUAAAUUAUUAUUAUUGUCAAGUUGGUAUAACGCUGAGUUGCCUGUUAGAGUUCAUGUGAUCACUGAAGUUCUCAAUGAUCAUAAAUAACAAAUGACAAGCAUUUAUAAUGAAAAAAAAAACCCACUCGUAUCCAGUUUCUGAUAGUUGAUGACCAGAAACACCAAAUUUGUUUUCAUUCUUUACAAUGAAUCUUAAGGCAAUAGUAUAAGAUUUUUUUUUUUAACAAAUGUGAGUUCAUAUAUAUAUAAAUGAUUGAUAUAGAGGUCUAACUAGAUUGCUUUGUCAAUUACUUCUGUGUUCUCACAUUUACAAAACCAAACAGCACUGCAAUUGGAUCUGGCUUAGCAUAAUUACAUCGUAUCACAGGGCCUUAGAAAGUUGUGUAGAUACAUUUUAAUUCAUUAUUACACUUUAUCAUUUGCUGGAAUUAAUUCUCACAGGUGUUGUUUGCAACCUCAGUUGUAGGGCCUUUUUCAUUACAUGUAAUCUAGAUUGCGAGAAACUCAAAAUGGCGGUGUUGAAGUGUUUAAUGAGAUUUAUGUAAGAUAUGUAUUUUGUUACACUUGGUAUAAUUUUAUCCAUGUGCUCCCACUCUGCAGAAUGUGCUUACCAAAACUACUGUUUUACUUGUAAGUUCAAAGACCUCACAAAAUAGCUUAUAUUUACAGUUACGAUUACUUGGAAUACGCUUAUUCAUUAAGCAAAACAUUGCAAAUAAUUUGCUAAACUACGUAAAAAUAGUAGAGCCAGGUAAAAAUUAAAAUUAUGGCAGAAUGUUUCCAACCCCUCUAUGUUCGUGUUAACAUUUGUAAAUCAUUAGUUGACACAUUGUUUAGUAAUUAUACCACAAUUGAGACGAAUUAUGAAUCUUCCGAACAUUCUUGACUAAUCUCUCAUCUUGCGUGAUGUGAAGACGUGGAUUUACUAAGCGAUGACCGGAAAGUGACAUUUCCUGUUGUAUUAUUAUAAAGCCUUUACAAAGACUUGAAACAAGGAUUUAUAGAAUGACAUUGCAAUCUUUAAUAGUCAACUGCUAUCCUAGUAUUCAUCCUGUAUUGGUUUUACAAGUUUGUCAUGUGUAGUAUUUUACUUUACGUCUGAAUUGUAUGUUGUGACAAUGAGCAUUGAGCAUACUGACCGAAUUCUAUUUACUCUAAAAUGUAUUUAUUUUUUCUCCAAAUUUAUACUAUGGGAUAGAACCAUCAGUAAUUCCAAUAGAAAUUAGAGACAGGUACAUUGUAGUAAAACUCCAAUUCAAGUCACUAUCCUCAUUUGUAGACACAAGUAUUAUAUUGAAUAUUUAUUUUCUGAAUUUUCUACUCUGGUCUGUUGAAAACGUACUAUAAAACUAAGAAAUCAUUUUAUUUUUUACAGUUUUUUUUCUUAGACAAAUUUCAAAUGUUCAUGAUACAUUAUAGCAAUAUAAUUUUGAAACCUUAUGAAACUAAAUUAGUAAAGCUAGGCUCGACAUUUUUGGGAAAAAAAUGAAUAUGAAAAAGUAAAGCUGUAAGAUCAAACAAAAAGGAUAUUGAAAUGGUUAUAUUUUAAGUGUGUUAUUAGUUUUCAGUUUUAGCUAUUUGUGUUGUAGACCUCCAUCGUGACAAAAUAUGGCAGCAGGCCGGUUUUUGCUGGAUAUUUUACCUAAAAAAAAAACAACACAUGAAAUUAAGUUGAUGGUAAUAUAUGCCUGAUAGACACUGUUCACAGCUUUUCAACUGUGAUUUUCAACUUUUUUUUGAAUGUUGCAUGCAAGCCAAGUUUUACAUCCAGAAAUAUCUAUUUCGCUGGCAAUUGCAUACAUAUGUACACAUCUCUUCUCCUUUUUUAGUACGUGGAAACGCUUAUAUUCCCCUGGCGUUGUAAUUAAUUCUGUUUUUCAAAUUACACUAGAAUUCUCAGCUUAACGGUAUUCAUUGAAAUAACAGGUAUAACUUUGGAAAGUCGCAAACUUUCAACGGUGCAACCUGUUGUACAUUCUUUGCUUUACUUCUUUGUUGGUAACAAUUAUUGAAAUGCACAUGUUCAGGAUUGUACUUUAAAGGUCAUUAUUUAAUAAUAAUAAAAUGGUCCUACCUCCGUCGUUCACCAACAUGGAGCUUAGCUGAAUACUCUUAUGUUCUUUUAUGUAUUAUUUGUCUGUUUGAUUUACACUGACCCGCCUUGUAAUAUCAACAGCUCAAUAUCAACAUGACUUUUCUGAAUACAUUGCUGUUUCUUUAUCUAACGCGGAGUUCUGAAUAAAUCUGUAUUUCCUAGUACUUUGGCCCAGACUUAAAUAGUAUUUGUGUAAGUUCCUAACUGUAUAGAUAUGAUCAUUAGAAUUACUUGUGUUUCAUUUUAGUUACUCUCUACAGCUCCUGAGCAACAGCAGUUAGAUAUAGUGAACAGAGCUACAACACGUCGCUCCUUACUCUGAAAAACAAGAAUACAAUAAAAGUGGCUAUAGUAACACAUA